UGCCAGCAGCCGCGGUAAUACGGAGGGGGUUAGCGUUGUUCGGAAUUACUGGGCGUAAAGCGCACGUAGGCGGAUCGGAAAGUUGGGGGUGAAAUCCCGGGGCUCAACCCCGGAACUGCCUCCAAAACUAUCGGUCUAGAGUUCGAGAGAGGUGAGUGGAAUUCCGAGUGUAGAGGUGAAAUUCGUAGAUAUUCGGAGGAACACCAGUGGCGAAGGCGGCUUUCUGGACCAAUACUGACGCUGAGAUGCGAAAGCGUGGGGAGCGAACAGGAUUAGAUA
rnacentral:rRNA from 1 species